UUGUGUCCCCCGAGCAGGUUCCGGACCACCUCGCAGCGCCGCGUCCUUAGGGGCGGGCUCGGGGGGCACCACCCUCGAGGGGCGGAACCCGUGGGGGCGGUGGCGUGGAUCCGGAGGUACCUGGUUUCUGAGCAAGAUGCUUGCAUGAAAGAUUCAAUCUAAGGCCAAUGCAAAAAUAUUGUGAAAGCAGCAGGAUCAGCUAGCCUUCCAGUUGGCUUCUUAAAUGCUGCAUUGAAAGGAUGAAACAGAACGGAUGUGAACAAGAGUUCCCUGAGAAAGGACAGCUCUUAGAGAGAUAGGAUAAUUACUGGACUCAAGAAGAUACCAAAUCAUGAACACUUGCUCUGGGGAAAGCCAGCUGCCAUAUUGUGAGCAGACCUAUGAAAAGGCCCACUUGGUGAAGAACUGAGGCCUCUGGCUGAUGGACACAUGGGUGACCUUGCAAUCAAGUCUUCUGGCUUCAACCAAGCCUUCAGCUGAGACUGCAGCCUCAUGAAAGAUCCUGAGCUAGAAGCAUCCUGCCAUCCUAAUAAGCCACUCUUGAAUUUCUGACCCUUAAAAAUUGUGAGAUAAGCACCUGUGCUUUUUUUAAGUGUUAGAUUUAAAAAACCCUGAAAAAAUAAAGAAGAAAAAAGACAACUCAUAAUCUCACCACAUUAAAAAGAAUAGCUAUAGAAAAAUUCCAGUAGUAUAAAAAGGAAAAAUGGAAAUAACUUCCCACCAUCCCUGAUCUUUAGUUCUUUUUCCCACAGUGACAUUUUCUUUCCCAAGAAAUGUUCAUGCAUAUGCAAUAUAUGUGUAAACCCUUUAAGAUGUUCACAAAAGGAUCAUGUUACACUCAUUCGAAAAACUUAAUAUUAUAUCUUGAAGGUGUCUUCAUAUCAGUAUAUAUAUAUCUAUCUUAGUUUGUUAAUAGAUUUCCCAUAAUUUAAAUGUACCAUAUUUCUUUUACCAGUCCCCAUAUAUGGACAUUUAGGAUAUUUCCAGUAUUCUUUUCUGUUAUAAAAAUAUGGUGAUAAACAUUUUCAUGCUUUUUUGAGUAUCUUCAAGUAAAGUCCUAUGGGUAGCAUUCUGGCAUCACGUUGUAUAUGCAUUUAAAGUUGAUGCUAUUCACUUGUUCCACAAUCUUUGCUCCGAGUUUACACUGAUGAAGCAUGAGAAUGCUAUAUCCCCACAAACCUGUGCAUAUUGUUGAUAGUAAGCAUUGUUUGCUAUUUUCUGACUAUUCAUUUUUCUUCUUUUGAGAAUUGCCAUGCCUAGAAGAGUGCCUGUCUUGUAAUAUAUAAGAUAAUAACUUGAUAGCUAGCAUUUCUGAGGCUUCUUGUGCCUUUAACGUAUAUUUACUGUUUUGAUACUUACAAAGACCCUAUGAAGUACGUACUAUUAUUAUCUGCUUAUGGCUGGUGGGAAAACUGAGCUGUACAGAAUUUAAACAAACUGUCCCAGGUCACACAACUAGGAAGGGUGGAGCCAGGAUGCAAAUGAUACGGAAUUUUAAAAAAUGGGUAGUUGAGUGAAUGAAUAAAUGGAUGACCUGUUUACAUCCUUUCUCAUUUUUAA
rnacentral:lncRNA from 1 species